rnacentral:rRNA from 1 species
AGGACGAACGCUGGCGGCGUGCUUAACACAUGCAAGUCGAGCGGAAAGGCCCUUCGGGGUACUCGAGCGGCGAACGGGUGAGUAGCACGUGAGCAACCUACCCUUGGCUUUGGGAUAACCCUCGGAAACGGGGGCUAAUACCGGAUGUUCACUGCUGGACGCAUGUUUGGUGGUGGAAAGUUUUUCGGCUAGGGAUGGGCUCGCGGCCUAUCAGCUUGUUGGUGGGGUGAUGGCCUACCAAGGCGACGACGGGUA